GUUGAAUGACCCCUCUUUCACGGGCUGAGGACGUCAGUAUUGUUUUUACUUUGACUAAGAAACUGUGAGGAGGGUGGUAGGAACCCUGCACGCUAAAAAACUACAAAAUGUGCGGACUGCUUUACGGCAUGCGUCACUUCCCCUGUCGUUAUAAGGACAGAACUCCAGUGUGGGAUUUUGCAAACAUGGCGGAAGGUGGACAACAGAGAAAGAAGCCAAAAGUUUUGUCUGAGGAGGCAAAAAAAAAAAGAAAAAGAGAGGCUACUCGGAUAAAAGCACAGUCCAGGAUCGACAUUGGCCCGGCUUUCACUCGCUGGCGUGAGCUGAAAGAUCAGGAGGGAUUUCCGACCGACGCUGCCUUGGCUCUGUUCCUGCUGGACUACUAUCAAAAGGAGCAAGUAACUUCUACUCCCCACAAGCAACACCUCCAACCACUGCAGCAUAUAGUUUCCAGCAUAACAGAAGAGGUCGGACCAUGAUAGGGGAGAACUGAUAGAGGGUGUCCAAAUCCUGGAAGAAGGCACUGGGGCAGAAGAAGCUGGUGUAUUAGAGGCCAGGUCCCAUGCUGUUUGCUCAUGGGCUCAGGCACAUUGCACAGGACUCACAUGGAACAGUAUGCUGAGUGGUGCAGGACAGAAGGGGAGGGACUUCUGUCACAAACAGUGCAUCACAGCUCAGACGGGCUGGUGCAGCCAGAGACCAGUCUGAAAUCUUGCCUUGGAUUAAAGACAUUGUGAACCAUUUCUGGUACUGUGCCAAGCAGGCAUCCACUGUCGAGCAGUUCAAGAUGAAAUGGCAUGCUGUAAUUCAUCACAUUCGGAACCAGCACACAUGGGCCACUGGAUCUUGUGAGCAUGAGCCACUGGGUGAAGAUAUACAGGAAAAACCAUGGAUAAAACAAGGUUCAGCAGCUCACCAGGCUCUUGUAGCCAUCGUCCUGGAGAAGCGAUGAUUGAAGAAUGUUGUGAAGUUCAUCAACUUCAGGACAACAUCCGAUCUGGAAAGCUUCCAGAAUCACAUACUCAUGUAC